GAUGAACGCUGGCGGCGUGCCUAAUACAUGCAAGCCGAGCGAACAGACGAGGAGCUUGCUCCUCUGACGUUAGCGACGGACGGGUAAGUAACACGUGGAUAACCUAGCUAUAAGGCUGAGGCAACUUCGAGAAACCGUAGCUAAUACCGGAUAACAUGUUGAACGGGAUGGUUCAACAGUGAAAGCGGUGCUGGCUGUGACUUCGACCUGGAUCCGUGCCGCGUUGGCUAGGUGGUAAGGUAACGGCUUACGAAGGCAGCGAUGGGUAGCCGACCUGGGAGGGGGAUCGGCCACUGUGGAAGUGAGAGACGGUCCAGACACCGACGGACGGCAGAAGUAGGGAAGCGGGGGAAAUGGGCGGAAGCCUGAAGGAGCAACGCAGCGUGAGUGAAGAAGGUCUUCGGAUCGUAAAACUCUGUUCUUAGGGAAGAACAAAUGCGUAAGUAACUAUGCACGUUUUGACGGUACCUAAUCAGAAAGCCACGGCUAACUACGUG
rnacentral:rRNA from 1 species